CGUGCAUUUUCACCAAUCUUUUAUCAGAUUGGGCCUGAUCAAGCCCGCACAAGUAAUUACAGAUCAGUGUUUGGGCCUUCGCCCAACAAAGAGACGCUACUGAGGCAUCCUUUUGAUUUUCUCUGUUCCCGCUGCGUUCUCUCGUAUCCCCUAAUCCCCUUCGAUUGCUCGAAUCCUUCACGCGAUUCCUCCUUUCGUCAAAACCCUAGAGCGAACCUCUUUCCCUUCCGAUCGCCCGAUUCCUCCAAUCGAGAAACUGUACGGGCUAAAACCCUAGGGCGACCCCCCUCGGCUCCCUCCUCUCCUCUCUUAUCGCCCAAUUCCUUCAAUCGAUAAACCGUAGAGCGUAUCCGAUUAGAUUGCUCUAUCAUUGGUGGGGGAGAUUACUUCUAAUUGGAGCUAGGGUUCUAAUCGGAAGAGUAUUUUCUUGCAGAGUAUGCAAUCGAGUCCGAACGAGUUUCAGGAGGCUGCAUGUUUCGAUAAUGAGACCAGAGAGGAUACCAUUGCGCUGCUGGAUCAGAUGAAUAUAUCUAACGUGGAACGCCGACAUGGUUAAGGCUGGAGAUGGUAAGCUGUUUAAAGUUUAUAUAGACAUGGAGGUCUUGCUUGUGCGAAAUCAGAUGCAUCCGGCCAGGGUACAUCAAUUGCAAGCUAAUCUAUUGUAAAAUAGAUAUAAUUAGUCCGUCCAGUACCGGCACAUUUAAAGUAUAGAAUUUGAGUUUGAAGAAAAAAGACAGAGGUGGCACAAAACAAAGAGCCGUCUCUUGACGUGCUUCUUAAUUCCACUCACCGUGGAA